AUUGAACGCUGGCGGCAUGCCUUACACAUGCAAGUCGAACGGCAGCACGGGUGCUUGCACCUGGUGGCGAGUGGCGAACGGGUGAGUAAUACAUCGGAACGUACCUUAUCGUGGGGGAUCACGCAGCGAAAGCUGUGCUAAUACCGCAUACGCCCUGAAGGGGAAAGCGGGGGAUCGAAAGACCACGCGCGAUUAGAGCGGCCGAUGCCUGAUUAGCUUGUUGGUGGGGUGAAAGCCCACCAAGGAGACGAUCAGUAGCUGGUCUGAGAGGACGAUCAGCCACACUGGGACUGAGACACGGCCCAGACUCCUACGGGAGGAAGCAGUGGGGAAUUUUGGACAAUGGGGGCAAUCCUGAUCCAGCAAUGCCGCGUGAGUGAAGAAGGCCUUCGGGUUGUAAAGCUCUUUUGUCAGGGAAGAAACGCCGGCUCUAACACAGUCCGGGAAUGACGGUACCUGAAGAAUAAGCACCGGCUAACUACGUGCCAGCCGCCGCUGUAA
rnacentral:rRNA from 1 species